CUUAACAAUGUCUGACUGUCGUCUUUGUUUGUCUCAUAUAUUCUCCUUGUGAUGCCUCAAGGACACGUAAAUUCCAGCGGCAUUAUAACUCCAUCUUACUGACAAUAUGACGCAGCAGCAUGCUUGCUUAUCUUCGUCAUGGCGUCAUGAGUUGAAGACAGGCACGUCACUCAUCUGCGGAUGCUAUGAAUAUCGAGCGCGUUUGAAAAGCGUUGGAAGUCGUUAGAGAUUGAUGUGGGACAACAAAGCGUGUUAUUAAAAGGCAUUGAUGUGGAAUAAGUCACGUGUUAUGCUUUACUUUGCGUAAACAACGUGACGGGGAUAAAAGCCCGCAUGACGUGAAGGUCAGCGCUUUGAACUGCGCAGCAAACACUUUAAAAUUGAUGAAAUUUUAAUUAUCAAUUAACAGCACAUUGUGAAUGGGUGUAUAAUGUGACGCAGAGAGAAAAGCAGAGAGUGACGCAGAUAUUUUAAUAUACUGCGCAGAUAUGCCGGAAAGUAAGUGAAUUUUGAGUGUCUGAGGCUGUUUUCUAAGUAUUUUUAACCUAAAAUAAGUUUCUACACAAAAGAAAACUGAUAGUAAACUUGAAUAGCUAAAUUUUAAGGUUAUGAACAACAAAAUACUGAUAUAACCUUAUUAAAUGCAAAUUUUUCUAAGCAAAGUCGCCGAAUGUCCUCCUUUUACUACUGCAACGACAAAGGAUCAUACAUUAAUUAUUUCCCGACUGCAAUUUAUGAAUUCCUGGCUCUAUUAUAAACCAUAAUAAUUCUAUGCAAUUAGAUCAUGAUUGCGAUGCAAAUUAUCCUCACAAAUUUAUGUGUGGCUUAAUUAUACACCAAACCCAUCAUUAUAAUUAUUAGCUUCUAUUAUAUGAUCCCUAUUUGUUUGAUAUAUUGUUUUUCCGUGAGGCUACACUGUUCAACGAUGUAGUUUUAGUUGGUGUAGUUUUCGUAAGCAGCAACUGGAGUAACUCGAGACGGCUUGAAGUGUUUUCCAUCCGGAUAAGUGCCUACGUUGUUAACUGCCAUGCGGAAACUAUUCUGCAGUUCAGCGCGCGGCCGACCACAACAGCCAAAGACUCUAUCAAGGAAGAAUAGAAGCAACCAAACAAGUUUGAUUAAAGCAAUUUGCCUAGAGCCCUACAAGUUUGACAACAAACUUUCGAAGCGAUGAAUUUAGUACUAGGACGUGUAUAUUGGAGAGUAUCAUUUGUAAAACACUCUAUAUAUCUAUCUAUAUGCAUAUAAAGAAAGUAGGGUUAGUUAAAACGUUGAUAACUCAUUAACGGCUGGACAGAUGUUGAUGAUUUAUGAUUUUUUGGAUUUGUCUUUACUCCAAAUAGCAGAAUAACUAUUAAAAUAUUAAAAAUUAUCAUUUAAAGAGUGUUAAAUAAGGGAUGAAAGUUUAUAUAGAGGUACAAUCAUAUUUAUAAUUAAAUAAUUGAAUCCUA